GACGAACGCUGGCGGCGUGCCUAAUACAUGCAAGUAGAACGCUGAAGGAGGAGCUUGCUUCUCUGGAUGAGUUGCGAACGGGUGAGUAACGCGUAGGUAACCUGCCUGGUAGCGGGGGAUAACUAUUGGAAACGAUAGCUAAUACCGCAUAAUAGCAGUUGUUGCAUGACAACUGUUUGAAAGGUGCAAUUGCACCACUACCAGAUGGACCUGCGUUGUAUUAGCUAGUUGGUGGGGUAACGGCUCACCAAGGCGACGAUACAUAGCCGACCUGAGAGGGUGAUCGGCCACACUGGGACUGAGACACGGCCCAGACUCCUACGGGAGGCAGCAGUAGGGAAUCUUCGGCAAUGGACGGAAGUCUGACCGAGCAACGCCGCGUGAGUGAAGAAGGUUUUCGGAUCGUAAAGCUCUGCUGUAAGAGAAGAACGAGUGUGAGAGUGGAAAGUUCACACUGUGACGGUAUCUUACCAGAAAGGGACGGCUAACUACGUG
rnacentral:rRNA from 1 species